rnacentral:rRNA from 1 species
GGCUCUUUGUACUAAUAAAAUAAAGAGUCCGGCCUGCUCAAUGAUGAUUUAUCAUUAAAUAGCUGCGGAAUCCUAACCGUGUGAAAGUAGCAGUAAUCAUUUGCCUCUUAAUUGGUGGCUGGAAUGAAUGGUACGAUGAAAAUAGAGCUGUCUCUAGUGUGUUUUUUUGAAAUUACCUUUUAGGUGAAAAGGCCUAAAUGUAUCUAUAAGACAAGAAGACCCUAUCGAGCUUUAAGUUAGUUGUAUAAAUAAUUUAAUUGACUUUUGGUUGGGGCAACCAGGGGGCAUAAGAAAUCCCUCUUUUUAAUAAAUUACUAACUAGUAAAGAUCCAGUUAUAUUGAUCAGGGGA